rnacentral:rRNA from 1 species
UACGUAGGGGGCAAGCGUUGUCCGGAAUUAUUGGGCGUAAAGAGCGCGUAGGCGGUCCGAUAAGUCGGCUGUGAAAGUCAUGGGCUCAACCCAUGAAAGCCGGCCGAUACUGUCGGACUAGAGUCCGGAAGAGGCAAGUGGAAUUCCCGGUGUAGCGGUGAAAUGCGUAGAGAUCGGGAGGAAGGCCGGUGGCGAAGGCGGCGCUCUGGAACAUUUCUGACGCUGAGGCUCGAAAGCGUGGGGAGCAAACAGG